CCUACGGGGUGCAGCAGUGGGGGAUAUUGCACAAUGGGGGAAACCCUGAUGCAGCGACGCCGCGUGGGUGAAGAAGUAUUUCGGUAUGUAAAGCCCUAUCAGCAGGGAAGAAAGAAGACGGUACCUGACUAAGAAGCCCCGGCUAACUACGUGCCAGCAGCCGCGGUAAUACGUAGGGGGCGAGCGUUAUCCGGAUUCACUGGGUGUAAAGGGAGCGUAGACGGCCGUGCAAGCCAGGAGUGAAAGCCCGGGGCCCAACCCCGGGACUGCUCUUGGAACUGUGCGGCUGGAGUGCGGGAGGGGCAGGCGGAAUUCCUGGUGUAGCGGUGAAAUGCGUAGAUAUCAGGAGGAACACCGGCGGCGAAGGCGGCCUGCUGGACCGCGACUGACGUUGAGGCUCGAAAGCGUGGGGAGCAAACAGGAUUAGAUACCCUAGUAGUC
rnacentral:rRNA from 1 species